AUCACCUACGGGGGGCAGCAGUGAGGAAUAUUGGUCAAUGGGCUUACGCCUGAACCAGCCAAGUCGCGUGAGGGAAGACUGCCCUAUGGGUUGUAAACCUCUUUUGUCAGGGAGCAACGCCGGCUACGUGUAGCCGGACUGAGAGUACCUGAAGAAAAAGCAUCGGCUAACUCCGUGCCAGCAGCCGCGGUAAUACGUAGGUGGCAAGCGUUGUCCGGAAUUACUGGGUGUAAAGGGAGCGCAGGCGGGAAGCCAAGUCAGCUGUGAAAACUACGGGCUUAACCUGCAGACUGCAGUUGAAACUG
rnacentral:rRNA from 1 species